GAUGAACGCUAGCGGCAGGCCUAAUACAUGCAAGACGAACGGUAAGUUGAGUAGCAAUACUUAGCCAAGAGUGUCGUACGGGUGCGUAACACGUAUGCAACCUACCCUAUACAGGAGGAUAGCCUAGGGAAACCUGGAUUAACCCUUCAUAGUAUUAUUGGAUGGCAUCAUUUGAUAAUUAAAACUGAGGUGGUAUAGGAUGGGCAUGCGUCUGAUUAGUUAGUUGGCGGGGUAAUGGCCCACCAAGACGAUGAUCAGUAGGGGUUCUGAGAGGAAGAUCCCCCCACACUGGCACUGAGAUACGGGCCAGACUCCUACGGGAGGCAGCAGUAGGGAAUAUUGGGUCAAUGGAUGCAAGUCUGAACCAGCCAUGCCGCGUGCAGGAAGAAGGCCUUCUGGGUUGUAAACUGCUUUGCCAGGGGAUAAAAUUUCCAUGCGUGGAAAACUGAAGGUACCUGGUGAAUAAGCCACGGCUAACUACGUGCCAGCAGCCGCGGUAAUC
rnacentral:rRNA from 1 species